UGUGACGCAGACGGUUCACUUCACAAGACCGGGGUCAACCACGGCUACCAGCAUGAUCGACGGUGCUUCAAUGCACAAUGAGGGAUGUCUGCAGCGACUGAGAAAGAGUCUCACCACAUCCUGACAUGAGGAAAAAGACUUUAUUGAAGACUACAAUGAGAAAAACUAUCAGACAGCAGACGGCUGCAUUCAAGGAGGAAGACCAUCAAACAUCCACGUCAGCUGAUGGAGGUCCAAGAGUCUCACCCAACAAACAACCUACUGAGUGAAGACCUCGAAUCUGAUUGGACGGCCUCCUAUUCAGCCACUUUAGGCUGUUAGAUUGUUCCAGAUAAGACAAGUACAAGAUUCUUCAGAGCCGUUCUACCAUGAGCCUGACAGGAAGAACUCCAACAGCUACUGAAUGUUCCUGUGGUUCCCUCAAGGCUACAGGAGGAGUCCUACGAGGACGAGCCGGUCCACCUGAUGGAGGCCAGUCGCUGCGAUUCAAAGCCAACACAGACUACGUGGACUUCUACUGGACCACAUGGAGGCCUUCAAACUGGACCAACAAGUUCACAGACUCCCCGACUCGUGGGUCUGAGGACGCUGCCGAGCCUCGGUCCAGCCGGCCUCCUGUCUGUGGAUGUUUGAGUGCUGAGAGGUUUGUGGAUGUAUGUGAACGUUCUGUGUUGAAACAGCAGCUUUGGACUCAGUAACGCCGGGAAAAACCAAGAGCUCCUUUAUUUGUGACUUCCACUAAAAAACUGAAGAAAAUAAGUUUGACAGGGU
ensembl:lncRNA